rnacentral:rRNA from 1 species
AGACAGCAGUCGCCACGGUAAUACGGAGGGUGCAAGCGUUAAUCGGAAUUACUGGGCGUAAAGCGUGCGUAGGCGGUUCGUUAAGUCUGUUGUGAAAGCCCCGGGCUCAACCUGGGAAUGGCAAUGGAUACUGGCGAGCUAGAGUGUGUCAGAGGAUGGUGGAAUUCCCGGUGUAGCGGUGAAAUGCGUAGAGAUCGGGAGGAACAUCAGUGGCGAAGGCGGCCAUCUGGGACAACACUGACGCUGAGGCACGAAAGCGUGGGGAGCAAACAGGAUUAGUACCCGCGUAGUCCCUGUCUCUUAUACA